UUUUUUUUUUUUUUUGUAUUCUUAUAAAUUAUAUUUUAUUCUUCACUGAAAAUAAUGCUGUACUAAUUGCAGCCUGUUAUUAUAAAUUGAACAAUUUUUUUUAACCAAUCUUUUUAACACACCAGACUUGCAAAACAAAGUGUGUGUUUAUUAAUGAGAUUGCAAUUUUAUUUAAAGUGUUAGAGUCCUAAAUAUAUAAUUAAUUCUGGUCAAAUGAAAUGUUUGCAAGAUUUGCUUGCAAGUUUGCAUUUUGUUGUCAAUAGUGACAUUGUGAGAGACAUAAGUGUGAAGAAAUGUCAAUUCACAGCAGCAGUAAUAAUAAAUAAUCCAAAGUUGACCAACUACUGCCAGUAUUAGUAGUUUGUAAAACAGAUCUUUUUGGUGUACUUCUUGGAAAACAUUGACUUUGUUCUCUUGCAUCAGAAGUUGGUUAAUUUCAAGUUUUUGUAUUUAUAUUAGUUUAUAAAUCAAAACUAUGUUUAUUGCUGUUUUUAGUUUCCAAUGGUUUUCUUUCUCUAAUGCUAUUUACUGAACAGACAAAAAUCAUAGCCCAUCGCUUUAGAUAGAUUCAAAGAUUUCAACAGGUUCCCAUUGUAUGCAUCUGCGAUGCCAGAAGUUGUAUUUACUGUACAUCUCAAUCAAAUUUUGCUUGUAUGUACAUAAUUACCCAUUUUAAUGUGCUAUUAAAUUUCAUAUGAAAGGAAAU